rnacentral:rRNA from 1 species
UACGGAGGGUGCGAGCGUUGUCCGGAAUCACUGGGCGUAAAGGGCGCGUAGGUGGCGCGGUAAGCGUGCGGUGAAAGCCUGGGGCUCAACCCCGGGUCGGCCGUGCGAACUGCUGGGCUUGAGCACUGUAGAGGCAGGCGGAAUUCCGGGUGUAGCGGUGGAAUGCGUAGAGAUCCGGAAGAACACCGGUGGCGAAGGCGGCCUGCUCGGCAGG